UUAAGCAUAUCAAUAAGCGGAGGAAAAGAAACCAACAGGGAUUGCCCUAGUAACGGCGAGUGAAGCGGCAACAGCUCAAAUUUGAAAUCUGGCUCCCUUGGGGGUCCGAGUUGUAAUUUGCAGAGGAUGCCUCGGGUGCGGGUUCCUUCCGAGUUCCCUGGAACGGGACGCCAUAGAGGGUGAGAGCCCCGUCUGGUCGGAAACCCAGCCCAUGUGAGGCUCCCUCGACGAGUCGAGUAGUUUGGGAAUGCUGCUCUAACGGGAGGUAUACUCCUUCCAAGGCUAAAUAUUGGCUAGAGACCGAUAGCGCACAAGUAGAGUGAUCGAAAGAUGAAAAGCACUUUGAAAAGAGAGUCAAAUAGCACGUGAAAUUGCUGAAAGGGAAGCGCUUGCUACCAGACAUGAGUUCGGCGGUUCAACCGGGGCCACGCCCCGGGGUACUCCGCCGGCUCAGGCCAGCAUCAGCUUUCCGCCGGGGUCAAAGGCGUCGGGAAUGUAGCUCCCCCUCGGGGGAGUGUUAUAGCCCGGCGUGUCAUGCCCGGCGGGGGGCUGAGGUACGCGCUCCGCAAGGAUGCUGGCGUAAUGGUAGCCAACGACCCGUCUUGAAACACGGACCAAGGAGUCAACCUUAUGUGCGAGUGCCCGGGCGUAAAACCCCAGCGCGUAAUGAAAGUGAACGUAGGUGAGAGCUUCGGCGCAUCACCGACCGAUCCCGAUGUUUACGGACGGAUUUGAGUGAGAGCAUAUAGGGUUGGACCCGAAAGAAGAUGAACUAUGCGUGUGUAGGGUGAAGCCAGAGGAAACUCUGGUGGAGGCUCGCAGCGGUUCUGACGUGCAAAUCGAUCGUCAAACAUGCGCAUGGGGGCGAAAGACUAAUCGAAUCUUCUGGUAGCUGGUUUCCGCCGAA
rnacentral:rRNA from 1 species